rnacentral:rRNA from 1 species
UGAAUACGAGAUGCUACGGCGUCGAAGCAGUCUAUGUCAUACUUCCAAGAAAAGCUUGCACUGUCAUAAACAAAUAAUGCCUGUACCAUAACCGACACAGGUGGUAGGUAGAGUAUACUAAGGGGCGCGAGAUAACUCUCUCUAAGGAACUCGGCAAAAUGACUCCGUAACUUCGGGAGAAGGAGUGCCUUAUUUAUAAGGUUGCAAUAACAAGAUCCAAGCAACUGUUUACCAAAAACACAGGUCUCCGCUAAGUCGUAAGACGAUGUAUGGGGGCUGACGCCUGCCCAGUGCCAGAAGGUUAAAGAAGUUGGUUAGCAUCCGCGAAGCUGAUAACUGAAGCCCUGGUGAACGGCGGCCGUAACGAUAACGGUCCUAAGGUAGCGAAAUUCCUUGUCGGGUAAGUUCCGACCCGCACGAAAGGCGUAAUGAUUUGGAUACUGUCUCGGAGAGGGGCUCGGUGAAAUAGACUUGUCUGUGAAGAUGCGGACUACCUGCACCAGGACAGAAAGACCCUAUGAAGCUUUACUGUAACCUGAAAUUGAAAUUGGACUUUACUUGCGCAGUAUAGGUGGGAGGCGUUGAGAAUAUUCUUGCGGGAUUAUUGGAGCCAUCAGUGAGAUACCACUCUUGUAAUGUUAGAUUUCUAACUUUGUAUCAUUAUCUGGUCAAAGAACAGUUUCAGGCGGGCAGUUUGACUGGGGCGGUCGCCUCCUAAACGGUAACGGAGGCGCACAAAGGUUUCCUCUGAACGGGUAGAAAUCGUAUCUAGAGUGUAAAGGCAUAAGGAAGCUUGACUGUGAGACCUACAAGUCGAGCAGGGACGAAAGUCGGUCUUAGUGAUCUGACGGUGCUGAGUGGAAAGGCCGUCACUCAACGGAUAAAAGUUACUCUAAGGAUAACAGGCUGAUCUCCCCCAAGAGUUCACAUCGACGGGGAGGUUUGGCACCUCGAUGUCGGCUCAUCGCAUCCUGGGGCGGUAGUACGUCCCAAGGGUUGGGCUGUUCGCCCAUGAAAGCGGUACGCGAGCUGGGUUCAGAACGUCGUGAGACAGUUCGGUCCAUAUCCGGUGUAGGCGUUAGAAUAUUGAGAGGAGCCUUCUUUAGUACGAGAGGACCGAGAAGGACAUACCUCUGGUGUACCAGUUAUCGUGCCAACGGUAAACGCUGGGUAGCUAUGUGUGGAGUGGAUAACCGCUGAAAGCAUCUAAGUGGGAAGCCCACCUCAAGAUAAG